CACAGAAGCCACUCUGCGCACACACGCUUCUCGCUCUCUCUCUAUCAAAAACCCUAUCAAAUCUUCCGCCCAUGGGAACACCAGCUAUGGCUGAAUCAGCAAUGUUUGUGGUACCUCAAACCAUUGGCAAUAUUUUGUGCUGCAAGUGUGGUAUUCUUAUGGUACCAAAUGGUGCCAAUAUGUGUGUGACUUGUUUGCGUUCUGAAAUUGACAUCACUGAAGGUUUAAGAAAGCGUGUGAUCAUUCUGCACUGUCCAGAUUGUACCAGCUACUUAAAGCCUCCAAGUACUUGGAUUGAAGCCCAAUUAGAAUCGAAAGAGUUGUUGAAGUUUUGUGUUGACAUACAGAGGAAGCAGCACGAUAAGGCUAAGGUUAGGUUAGUUGAUGCAUUCUUUAUUUGGACUGAACCUCACUCUAAGAGAAUCAAGGUGAAGCUGAAAAUCCAGAAGGAUGUGUUUAAUGGGACAAUUCUUGAACAAUCUUAUGUAGUUGAGUAUGUUGUACAACCUCACUUGUGUGAGAAUUGUUCAAGAGUUCAGGUCAAUCCUGAUCAGUGGGUUGCUGUUGUUCAGCUCCGUCAACAUGUUUCUCACAGAAGAACUUUCUUUUUUCUGGAACAGUUGAUUCUAAAGCAUGGUGCUGCUGUCCUUGCCAUAAAGAUCAAACAGGUAGAUGAAGGUAUUGAUUUUUUCUUUGCUAAGAGGAGUUAUGCUAUGAAAUUUGUGGAAUUUAUAGGUAAAGUAGUUCCACUCAGGACUCGCUAUGAUAGGCAGCUUGUUUCCCAUGAUUCUAAGAGCAACAAGUACAAUUAUAAAUAUACAUUCUCGGUUGAAAUCUGUCCCAUUUGCCGUGAGGAUUUGAUCUGUUUGCCUCCAAAGGUUGCAUCUAAUUUAGGAAAUAUAGGUCCUCUCGUGAUAUGCAUGAAAGUGAUGAAUGGUAUUACUCUACUGGAUCCAUUUACUCUGAGGCACUGUUUCUUGAAUGCUGACCAGUACUGGAGGGCAUCUUUUCAGUCUUUACUUACGAGCAGGCAGCUUGCGGAAUACAUCAUAUUAGAUGUGGAGCCUCUUUCUUAUGAAGUUAGCGAUGGUAACCGCAAGUAUAACUUAGCAGAUGCUCAAGUUGUCCGCAAAUGUGAUUUUGGAAAGAACAAUAACAUUUUCUACAUAAGAACACAUCUUGGUCACAUUUUGAGUGCUGGGGAUUCGGCUCUUGGUUAUGACAUCUAUGGGGCUAAUAGUAAUGGCAUAGAACUGGACAAAUAUAGAGGUCUUGUCCUUCCGGAUGCAAUUUUGAUAAAGAAAAGCUAUGGGGAAAGCAAUCAGAGGAAGCAUAGGGAUGCCUAUGGAUGCAAAAGUUCCUUGACAAACAUGGAAGUUGAUGAGUCUGGGGUCUCAGAGUAUGAAGAAUUCUGUAGAGAUCUGGAAGAGAACCCCGAUUUGAGAUUCAACCUAUCACUAGAGGAGUCUUUAGAAGAGUUGUUUGCGGAUCUUGAUCUGAGUGAGGAACAUGAAGACAACAUGAGGGAGUGAAUGGAAGGUGUGUUGUUCUUUUAUUUCUUUCAAUUUUGUUUCAUUUUGGGGUAUAUUUUUUUAUAAUCAUAUUUAUUUUUUCCCCAGAGGAAAGAAAUUGUUAAGAAAGGAACAGAAAACAUUUUCCAUAUCCAUCCAGCUAGCAUUUUACGUCCUAGGUUGGGUAUAUUGGGUAGGUCUGCUGACCAGGUUUUAGCUGGAUGACACGUGCUAAGUUUUUUUAAUAACCAAGUUAUUAAAAAAAAAAAAGCAUUAUUUUCCCUAGGAUUAGAUUGGUGAACAUUAUUAAUUUAAGGUUUUGCAAAUUUCUUGGUACUUAUUAUCAAUGCUAUUGAAUGCGG
rnacentral:misc_RNA from 1 species